UAUAACUAGUUAAAGGCUUCAGGUUAUAACUAGUUGACUAGUUAAAGGCUACAGGUUAUAACUAGUUAAAGGCUACAGGUUAUAACUAGUUGACUAGUUAAAGGCUACAGGUUAUAACUAAUUAAAGGCUAUAGGUUAUAACUAGUUAAAGGCUACAGGUUAUAACUAGUUAAAGGCUGUAGGUUAUAACUAGUUAAAGGCUACAGGUUAUACCUUGACCUCCUCAAGUUACGUGCAGGAAAAACUCC